UUUUUUUUUUUUGAAAAAAAAAGAAGAAAAGAAAGCAUUGAAUAUAAAAUGUGCAGUUACAACUCAUCCUUGUACAUAAUAGACAUAAAACAACCUACUCAGAAUUUAGGCAGCGCAGCACAGUUGAUCAUCAAAAUGCACGACUAUACACCCUUGAGACAGCAAAUAUGCUAUUCCCAAGCUGGACCAGCUGCAAAAAAAAUGUGCCUCACUUGUGAAAGAACAGACUCUUUUUCUUCC
rnacentral:misc_RNA from 1 species